GGCUGAGUGAAUCAUAAACUGGUAUUCUCAUAUCAGCAAGUCUGGGAACCAUUAGUACCAAAUUCACUACCUUACACUACUUCACAAGAGCAUCGGACAGCUCUCUAUUCAAUUCAAAGAAAUUUUGGAGGAAGUGUCGCGUAAACUCCAGAUGGUAACUGAGGUGCACCUAGAUGUUGACUGCAACGCCUAUAGAUCUUGGUGAAACAAACCCACAUUUUAGGUUUUGUGUUGUAUUUUUGUCCCACAGAAAAAUACAGUAACUGCGUUGACUCUACUAGGGACUUCAAAGCAAGAAGAAAAAUGAAAAGAUGGCAGCAGAGGGACAGUCUGACACAUCAGCAUGUGACAUGGAAGUACAUACGGAGAAAAGUUACAGCCAGGUUUGAGGCAGAGCUGCCAACAUCCAUAUAAAUCUGAUUGACCAACAUCAACCAUCAUUUGACAACUUCACUCUGGGUUGCUUCUUCGCAAUCAUAAUCUUCUGAAAGAGAUACAGAUGAAUCAUUUUUACUGCAUGAUCACCAAAAUUUGCCACAUAUAGUAUGCAACAGGAUGUUUCAUGUACUCAAACUCAUAGUAUUUGGAAAGAAGCUCUAAACUUGAAUAGACAAAUGCAAUCAUGGCGUUCAGCCACACAUAACCAAAACAAGUUAGGAACACGUGGCAAGUGAGAGAUUUCAUCUGGGAGCUGUACUAAACACUGGUUUUUCUGGAUUCUAUUCAUUUUAAAUAAUGAAACUGUCUCAUAGUUUAUUUAGCUAUUUCUGUUAUCCUUGCACAACACGUGUUCGUACUAAUGUUGAGGCAGAUGUACUGCAUUUCAUUUUAAAAACCAGCUAUUUUUUUAAGUGUUGUUUUAACAUGCAUGGCAUAAUCACACACACUAUUCAUUGCCUUGAUGCUUUGCUUCUCAGUAAAGAAAACUGGUUGUCCCAGAUCCUACAGAUUAUCACAUCUGUUUUUAUAGCUCAUAAGGAAUAGUCUUUUAAGGACUUAGAACCCAGAGGAAUCCUGAAAUUUUAGCCUUGCCAAUGUUAUCACUUAGCUUGCUUUCACAAAUGCACUUACUUUCACAAAUGCAACAGAAACAUGGACAAUAGCUCAUAUCUGAAACAUCUAUAACUCUUUGGAAAGAACUAAAUACAGCUAAAAAGAAUGUUUUCUGAUUCAGUCUAUGUAAAACCUAUGAGGAUAUCUAAAGAAGCUAAAGGCUUUUUAUCAGCAAGUUUGAUAUUUUUGAAGUCAAGUUUUUUAUUUACCUCACAUACUUGUGUGAUUCCACCUUGCUGACUGGAGAGUUUAGAUUUUUAUCUGAACUAAUUUGGGAAAAAACUGACAAAGGAAUCUUUAACAACCUCAUAAAGUACUGCUUAUAUGAGGUGAAUACACUUGAAUGAAUAGAGAAUGUCAGCACAGGUGGGGCUUUAGAAACUAUUAAACUUUUACUCCAACGACAUAUAGUAAGCUGCAAAAAUGCAAAUAAUGGCAAAUAAAGGGACAAGAAAUGGAAAUAUUGCAAUUUUCUUAUUCCAAGCAUGUGAAAAGGAAAGAAAAAAAAAAAACAACAAACAUAUUUUAUUUAAAUGUGAUCUAUUAACAGGAUCAUUUAAAUCCUUGAAUUUUCUGACAUUUUGACCCUAAGAGAAGUUCCUUUGGGUAUGGGAUCCAUAAAGCACCAAGCACUCAAACUUCUUAAGAUACGGAGAGCUUCCAGGAAAAACAUGUCUAGCCAAUAAAACAAUCACCAUUCACUGUUUAAUCACCUCAGAGUAUUCUAGAUUCUUGGGAAAUUACUACAGACUUCUCUUCUUUUGGAAUAUAUAUUCAUGCUGCUACAGUAAUGUAGUGUCAAAUGUUGUGUUGAAUAAAAGGUCUUGAAACAGGUACAGACUGAUGAAGAAAAAAAAAAAAAAGGAAGCUUAGACAUAUUUGUUUAAACCAGGUCCAAGUUCUAUUCUGAAGUUACAUGAACAUGAUACUUUUAGACAGUGGCAAUUAUUUCCUCAAGAGUAUUCUAGCACUGAACAUGUGACAAUGAUUUAAAAUAUAAUUUUAUACAAUGCUGUGUUGUAAUUAUGGAUUGAUCUUUAUUUACAGGUCAACUUAGUGUUUGUUUUUCUUUGCCUAUCUCUUCUCAUAAUUGCCAGUAAUGCUAAAGGUUUGGCAUCCUUGUGCUAUAACUAUUUAUAGGGCUAGUCUGAAAAUGUAAGCAUAUGAGGAAGCUGUUUCCUGAAUCUGCCAAUACUAAUGACUCACCAUUCUUUACUUUUUUUUGGAGUAUUUUCUUUUUAAUUAAAUGUGAAAAUAUCUUAUCAAGGCAUUCUAUCUUGCUCACAAAUAUUCUUCAAAAAACCAUGCUAAUGGUUUAAUUGUAGUUCUGCUUCAUAGUCAUCCUAGAUGGUGAGGCAUUAAGUACCUUAAAUUGUACCCAUAUAUGUCUUAAAUAUAUUAAAUGCAAGAUAUACAAAAUAGAAAGAAUAUUUAUUUCCUGAGCUGUGAAAUAAUAAGAAAAGUGUUUUGUUCUCAAAGAUAUCUACUGCAUAGACGACAGACUUUUGAUUGCUCAGUUGGCACUCACAUCAUGGGAGACUGAAAUUGAAAUUUCUAGAAUACAAGAAUAACAAAUGCACACGUAAAUUCACAUACAUGCGCACACAUGCAUACUGCAAGUAGAUUCAUGUAUAUUAUCCCUGAGAACUUAUGGCCACGUCGAGACAGAUAUUAUGUUACAUCCAAAUUUCCUUGCUUAGACCUGAAGUCUAUAAGUGUUGAGAAUUUCAUGGGGACACAGGGCUGGAAGGACAAGUCAAGACUCUCUAGAUACAAAGCUAGGAAUUCCAUGGCAAUUUUGAAUUUUAAUGCUACUGAUAAGUGAAGAGACAGCCAUUUCAUUUCAUUCACCUGUUAACCCUAAUUAAAAAUAUAUCCAUAAACGUUUUUUGCUGACAUCCCUUCCUAUUUUGAAGUUUUGAAGCUAAGUUCUCACUUAGCAGUAGAGACUAAUUUUGAAACUCCCAUGGCCUUCCUAAAAUGACAGGAUUGUUAUGUUCAGCUCUACAACCUUACACAUUACUAAUGCAACUCAAAUGCUAAAUCCUAGGUUUCACUGCCAUGAAAUAUUCAGCAAUAAUCAUAUGUAUCUGAGCACGUACCUACUUUCCUGCCUGGUUUGUUGUAAAACUUUAUAACUGCUAAGUUAUUUGGAAAGAGAAGUUGGCAUGCCAGAAACUAUUCUUAUUUCAGGUAGUACUAUAUGCUGGAACUAAAAGUAUUGCCAACCCUAAAGACUGAUGGUGUUAAAAAAAAAAAAAAAAAAUAGAAUCAUAGAAUCCUUACAAUUGGAAGGGAUAUACAAAGGUCAUCUAGUCCAACUCCCCUGCUGUGAACAGGAACACGCAUAACUAAAUCAGGUUGCCCAGAGCCAGAUCCGGCCUCUCCUUGAAAGUCCCCAGGGAGGGGUCACCAGCCACAUCACUGGACAAUCUGUUCCAGUGCCUCAUCACCCUCACUGAAAAUACUUUUUCCUUAUAUCCAACUUUAAUCACCCCUCUUUAAGCUUGAAGCCAUUUCCCCUUGUUCUAUCACCACAGACCCUGCUAAAGAUUCUGUUGCCUUCCUUCUUGUAGUUCUCUGUUAGAUAUUGAAAGACCACUCUCAAGUCACCUCAGAGCCUUCUCUUCUCCAGGUUGAACAGCUCCAGCUCUCUCAGCCUGUCUUCAUAGGAGAGGUGUCCCAUCCCUUGGAUCAUUUUUGUGGCCCUCCUCUGGAUAUGUUCCAACAGGUUCAUGUCUCUCCUGUACUAAGGACUCCACAUCUGGAGGCAAUACUCCAGGUGAGGCCUCACCAGUGCAGAGUAGAGGGGCAGGAUCAUCUCCCUCGACUUGCUGACUACGCAUCUAUUGAUGCAACCCAGAUUCAAUUGUACUUCUGGGCUGUAAAGAGACAUUGCUGGCUCAUGUUCAACAUUAAUCCACCAGUACCCCCACGUCUUUUUUGGCAGAGCUGCACUCAGACAUCCCUCAUUCAUCCCCAUUUCAUCCCCC
ensembl:lncRNA